rnacentral:tRNA from 1 species
GCCGGAGUGGCGGAACUGGCAGACGCGCUGGAUUCAAAAUCCAGUUAGGUUCACCCCGAGUGUGGGUUCGAGUCCCACCUUCGGCA